CGUUAAUUCUCCCAAACCUGCUACGUUAAUUCUCCCAAACCUGCUACGUUAAUUCUCCCAAACCUGCAACGUUAAUUCUCCCAAACCUGCUACGUUAAUUCUCCCAAACCUGCUACGUUAAUUCUCCCAAACCUGCUACGUUAAUUCUCCCAAACCUGCUACGUUAGUUCUCCCAAACCUGCUACGUUAAUUCUCCCAAACCUGCUACGUUAAUUCUCCCUAACCUGCUACGUUAAUUCUCCCUAACCUGCUACGUUAAUUCUCCCUAACCUGCUACGUUAAUUCUCCCUAACCUGCUACGUUAAUUCUCCCAAACCUGCUACGUUAAUUCUCCCAAACCUGCUACGUUAACCUGCUACGUUAAUUCUCCCUAACCUGCUACGUUAAUUGUCCCAAACCUGCUACGUUAAUUGUCCCAAACCUGCUACGUUAGUUCUCCCUAACCUGCUACGUUAAUGCUCCCAAACCUGCUACAUUAAUGCUCCUAACUUGCUACAAAAAGUACAUUCUGAAAAACUCUGCAUCCCUUCUAGACCCGGCUUAGGGCCAGAUAAUUUUUAAAAAACGUACACUUCCAGUGAAUCAAGGCUCAAUUUGAAAAAAACACGUUUAUUUUUUAUAGCUGUUUUUAUAUGGUCUAACAUUUUACAGUUUUAAUACAACAACUGUUGCCAAUUGUCAUUUAUACAUUAUUCUGACAAUCACAGUCUUAGAUUUGAAUAAUUAACAGAUAUGGUUUUAAUUUCAGAAUUUGAUCAUUAGGGACAUAUUAGGUUCUAGAAGACGUUCAUUUCCUCAGCAGUUUGAGAUUGUAUUUAUGCUAAUUAGAUACAACUUGUUUACAACAUUUAUAAUUAGUAAAAAUGGUCUUCAUUACAAAAUGUACACUUACUUGACACGCCAUAUUAAUGUCUAAACCUCUAUAAAGGUACAUGUUUUUAUGAAUGGUUAUUGUAAAUUACAGAUUUGAAUGAUUUGGAUUGUUUCACAAUUUGUCUUUAAAGAAAUGUGCCAAAAACUAUUGACUGACCAGUUAUCAUUGUCAUUUUGCAAUGUUAUCGAUUUUAUCCUGGAGGUGUCCACUAUUUCUGAAAAGAAGUAAUGAUUUAUUUUAUUUUAUGAAUGUUCUGAGAUUACAGUGUUUGAUCUUGAACCAUAUUCAUUUAGUAUAAAAUAAUUUACUCAGUA
ensembl:lncRNA